rnacentral:rRNA from 1 species
GAUGAACGCUCGCGGCAGGCCUAAUACAUGCAAGUCGAACGAGAUUACGAGGCUUGCUUCUUAUGAAAGUGGCGCACGGGUGCGUAACGCGUAUGCAACCUACCUUAAUCAGGGGGAUAGCCCGAAGAAAUUCGGAUUAAGACCGCAUAAAAACACAGGAUAGCAUUAUCCAAUGUUCAAAUAUUUAUAGGUUUAAGAUGGGCAUGCGUGUCAUUAGCUAGUUGGCGGGGUAACGGCCCACCAAGGCGACGAUGACUAGGGGAUCUGAGAGGAUGACCCCCCACACUGGUACUGAGACACGGACCAGACUCCUACGGGAGGCAGCAGUAAGGAAUAUUGGUCAAUGGAGGGAACUCUGAACCAGCCAUGCCGCGUGCAGGAAGACAGCCCUCUGGGUCGUAAACUGCUUUUAUUCGGGAAUAAACCUUUCUACGUGUAGGAAGCUGAAUGUACCGAAGGAAUAAGGAUCGGCUAACUCCGUG